UAUGCUGCUGUGUGCCUGAAGGUGUGUUGAGCAGACACUCAGGGAGCACGGAAGAUGAAAGGAAUACACUGGGUGCCAAACAGGGCACUCUGUCUUACCAGCCAAAUUAAUGGAGAGUGAUGGGAGGGGUCACAGCUCUCAGUCACCCUUAGUUUUCUUCCUCUCCUCCCAGGGGGCUGCACCCAGAGUCCAUCCCAGGUGCACAGAAAUCCAGUUCAGGUUCUUCCCUUCCCCACAGAGUGCAUCCCAGGAAACACAAAAUCAGGACUCUCUUUUGAAAGGAGACUUUUAAAGGUGGCCUGCAAAGAACCUAGCAGAAAGUAGCAGACCUUGGUCCCGGCAGGAGUCUAUUCACCUCCUUCCCCCAGUUGUGGAAUGUCCCAAGACCAACAAAAGGCCACUGACUCCAUCUUUUCUGUGACCUUGGUUCAUCCAACACUCUCAUACUUCCUGAUAUCUGAAAAAUACCUGUGGAAUUGGUGUCAGCCCCAGGCUCUUCCAGCCCAGGGGCCAAUGGAUGCCUCAUUACUCUUUACAGGGGCUGUGUGUUUAUUAAAACACUCAGGAUGCUUUCUUCAUUCUAGGCUUGUCACUGGAAAUGGAAUCCGCAAGUGCUUUGAUAAAUGGAAUUAAAAGGUCAGGUGGUUUAACUGGA